GAUGAACGCUGGCGGCGUGCUUAACACAUGCAAGUCGAACGGACUUUAAAUGAAGCCUAGCGAUUUUAAAGUUAGUGGCGGACGGGUGAGUAACGCGUGGGUAACCUGCCGUAUACAGGGGGAUAACACUUAGAAAUAGGUGUUAAUACCGCAUAAGCGCACAGCUUUGCAUGAAGCAGUGUGAAAAACUCCGGUGGUAUACGAUGGACCCGCGUCUGAUUAGCUAGUUGGUGAGGUAACGGCCCACCAAGGCGACGAUCAGUAGCCGGCCUGAGAGGGUGAACGGCCACAUUGGGACUGAGACACGGCCCAAACUCCUACGGGAGGCAGCAGUGGGGAAUAUUGCACAAUGGGGGAAACCCUGAUGCAGCGACGCCGCGUGAGUGAAGAAGUAUUUCGGUAUGUAAAGCUCUAUCAGCAGGGAAGAAAAUGACGGUACCUGACUAAGAAGCUCCGGCUAAAUACGUGCCAGCAGCCGCAGUAAUAC
rnacentral:rRNA from 1 species